UGCCGUGUGUUUGCUGGGUGUUUUACACCAGUGAUUUGAUGCAUGAAGAGCAAAGGCCACAGGCCAUCUGGGACUUCCGCAGUACGAGGAACAGGGAGGCACAGUGGUGCAGCGGUAGAGUUCCUGCCGCAGAGUGCUAGAGACUCGGUUUCAAUCCUGACCACGGGUGCUGUCUGUACGGAGUUUGUACAUUCUCGCCUUGACCUGCGUGGGUUUUCCCCAGGUGCUCCGGCUUCCUCCCACAUUCCAAAGACGUGCAGAUGCUGCCUGACCAACUGUCUUACUCCAGGGGAAAAAAAGGAGGCUUCGGAUUGAUUGUCCUAUCAACAACCAGAGAGUGGUCCUGAGCUAACAUCUACCUCACUGAAGACCCUUGGACUAACUUUAAUCAGACUUUACCUUGCAUUAAACGUUAUUCCCUUGAUCCUGUAUCUGUACACUGUGGGUGGCUCGAUUGUAAUCAUGUAUAGUCUUUCCACUGACUGGAUAGCACGCAACAAAAAAGCUUUUCAUUGCAUGAGUACACUUGGCAUUAAUAAGCUGAACUAAAUUAAACUUAAAAAUUUCAUGUAAAA